ensembl:snRNA U6 U6 spliceosomal RNA
GUGCUUGCUUGCCUCAGCAGCACAUAUACUAAAAUUGGAAUGAUACAGAGAAGAUUAGCAUGGCCCCCAAGCAAGAAUGACAUGCAAAUUCAUGAAGCAUUCCAUAUUUAU